GUGUUAAUUCCAACUUUUUAAAUAGUAUUGUUCCUUAUACUUCUGUUUUUAUUACUUGUAUUAAUGUAGUUUUCUUUCUUUCUUCUUAUUUUUUAUUUUAUUUGUUUAUUUUAUGAUGGUGAUGCUCCAUUGACUUGUUUUUGAUAUGAGUGACACCGAACAUAAAGUUGUAAAUUAUAAUUAAGUUUGUAAAUUUUGAUUUUAUGGUUAAUUAACCAUAAGUGCAUGCGUAGUAUGUACAGUAAGGUUUUUGUUAACCUUUUAUUUAAUUAAGUAAAUGGAUAAAAAAACUUUGCUGUACAUACUAUGCAUGCCUCAAGACUGUCAAGCUAAUCUUUGAUGUGCGUACAUACUGUACAUCAAAGAUCAGCUUAAGGAUUACAUAUGCAAAUGUUGGAUCCAUCUCUUUUCACAAAUGUAAUUUUGACAUUGUUAGAAAAAGAGGUCUAUAGUAUCUAUCUAUCUCUCCAGGUUCAUAAUACGGCCUCUCAAUUGUGUUAAAAAUGGCAGCCAUAUGUGCGUUCAAAAUUUAAAUCACUGUCAAACUUGUAUCUGGUGUUUGCCCUGUCCUCUGACAUGCUGGAAACGGCUAGCAAUAUGUGCGCAUGAAAUUCAAAUCACUGUCAAAAUAAUUUUAAAUAUUUAAUUAAUAAAAUUCAAAGGAAAUACUAUAAAAAAAAAUGUUUUAGAAAUACAAAUGAGUACAAAAUUAUACAAAUGAGUACUUUUAGAGUACAGGAUUUGAAAAAAGUACGGUUUGUGAAAAAAGAGUAAAAAAACUCAGAUAAUGAGAAUAGCAGGUCACCUUACUUGUCUACAUAAUUUUUUGGUAGAUUUCAAAGUUCUUGCAAAAGAUGGUUUUAUCUAUGAAAAUAUUGAGUUUAAUUAAUUUUGCUGUUAUCAUAUGUGAUGCACCAGCUAGAGCAUUUGUAAAGUGUAUUAAAGGACACAAUGGUUAUAACUGAUGUGAAUGUUGUGCUUAGAAAGGAGAGUGGUGUGGCAAAAUAAUCCUUCUACAUAUUUCACUAAUUUUAAGCACUGAUUCAGAUUUUUUGUCAUUAAAAGCAUUCUGAACAUCUUAGUGGUGUGUUAAAUUGAAUUAAAUUUUGACAAAUGUUGUAAGUUGUCUCAGAUUACAGUCAAUACUUUAUCUGGCGGAUUGUUCCAGAUACGUUAUUACAUUACAAGAAAUUUUUAUAGAAAAUCAAGGUCUUAUUUAGAUAAUAAAAAUUGGAAAACAACUGAGCUUAGACUCUUUAUAGUAAACACUGGACCAGUUGUUUAAAGGGAAUGGUUUAGCCAAAAAUGUAUUCAAUUGUUUAGAUUUUUUAGUUGUAGUUCUACUUUCAUAAUGUUUCAUUUUGUUGAAAAAAUUUGUUAAUUUUGCUUUUCAGCUACUUAUCUUUUUAUGUGAACUUUAUCAUAAGGAUUAACUAGUGUACAAUGUCCAUUCAAUAGCACAUAUAGGAAAUAAUACAGUUAAAUUUUAGGUACUUGAUAGAUGUCCCUCUUUCAAAUACAAAAUUUUUUCAGGUCAAUUAAAAAAUUUUUGUCUAGGGGUCUCAUUUGCAAAUUUAGGGGCCCUUUUACAAAUGUAAGGAUUUUUUUUUUUAGGAUUUUUAUUUAGAUUUUGUUUAUCUAUUGGAAAAGAUUUUAGGAAUUUUGGGGCCCUUAUGACAGAUUUUUUUUCGGAAUGGGGGGCUUGUAUCUAGUAGCCAUGGCACUGUAUAUAAGCUAUAUACAAUAUAUAUCAAAUUAUAUACAAUAUAAAUAAAAAAAUAUAUUAAUUUAAUAAUUUUAUAUAAUUUAUUUAUCAGUUACUAAAGGAAUGUUAUCAAUUUAUUAUAUGAAUCAUAAGCAUGUGCUUAUCUAUUACAAGUGCCUUUGAUAAUGAAAGUUACAUUUUUUAUUUGAAGAGAGUUGGGAGAAAUUUUCGUAUUGAAACGAGAUAUUGUGUAAAGAGGUUUUCAAAGAAGUCGUUUUAACAACAAUGGAAAAGCUUCCGAUUCCCGAGAUAAACGUAAAAACAUUUGAUACAUGAUUAAAGAAUCGUUCAAAAGUUUGCUUAAUUUUGACAGUGUAAUUUUAAUUACUAUUUUUUUUUUGAAAUAAACCAAUCAAUUUAUAU
rnacentral:lncRNA from 1 species